rnacentral:tRNA from 1 species
GGGGGUGUAGCUCAUUUGGCAGAGCGUUCGCUUUGCAUUAACAUGGGGUUUACUACAAGGACUCGACAUCUCUGGAGCCCCCACGAAAUCUGCGAAAGGCAGGGGGUUCGAUUCCCUCCACCUCCA